ACAAUACACAUUUCUUCCCUAUUGACAGAGCUUUACAACCCUAAGGCCUUCAUCACUCACGCGGCGUCGCUGCAUCAGGGUUUCCCCCCAUUGUGCAAAAUUCCUC
rnacentral:rRNA from 1 species